GGCUGCCCCAUAGAGGUGACAGCUGUCCCAUGGCAGUGGUGGCUGCCCCAUAGUGGUACCAGCUGUCCCAAAGCAGUGGUGGCUGUCCCAUAGAGGGUUACCCACUAUGGGGUGGUGCUGUGGGGUGCUGUGGGGUGUCACCCGGUGCUCACUGUCCCCCCGUUUCACCCCCCGCCCGGACAAACAACGCUGGGCUCGUUUUUAAAUAAGAAUAAUUAAAAAAAAAACAAAACAAAACAAAACCGAAACGGAACAAAACCAACAGAAAAUAUCCA
rnacentral:lncRNA from 1 species